UCCUCCAAAGUUCAGUAAUGAACCUGGACCCUCAGACACAAAAGGUCAGGACCACAGACUGAGAGCAGAGUCUCCAGGAUCCAGCUGUCCGUCUAUGGAGAGUGACAGGUCCAAACCGUUUAAUCUUCCCGACUUCAAUAACGAACCUGGACCCUCAGACACAAAAGGUCAGGACCACAGACUGAGAGCAGAGUCUCCAGGAUCCAGCUGUCUGUCUAUGAAGAGAGCAAGGUACAAAGAGUUUA